GGAACGACCAUGAGUUUGAACUGUCUCGUGGAGUCAGAACCGUUCUUUAUGUCUAUGGUCCGAAAGCAUAACGUUAACUUAUCCCUGCUUCCCGGUUUCUGCCGGUUGUUGUUUUCGCUGUUCGCUGGUAAUGCAUGCUCAAGUGUGUGGUUGUGAGAUCAUCAUCUAGAAAUCCUUUUUAAAAGUUCAGAUAUUGGACUUCAAAGAGUGCUACAGAGAGUCAGCGUUUCAAGAUCAGACAGUUGGUGUCUGAUAGGUGAG